UAAUACGGAGGGGGCAAGCGUUGUUCGGAAUUAUUGGGCGUAAAGCGCGUGUAGGCGGUAAGGUAAGUCAAACGUGAAAGUCAACGGCUCAACCGGGGAAUUGCGUUUGAUACUGCCUUUCUGGAGUACGGGAAGGAGAGUGGAAUUCCUAGUGUAGCAGUGAAAUGCGUAGAUAUUAGGAAGAACACCGGUGGCGAAGGCGGCUCUCUGGACCCUUACUGACGCUGAGACGCGAAAGCCAGGGGAGCAAACGGGAUUAGAUACCCCGGUAGUCCUGGCCGUAAACGAUGGGCACUAGGUGAGGGAGGUAUCGAUCCCUUCCGUGCCGUAGCUAACGCAUUAAGUGCCCCGCCUGGGGAGUACGGUCGCAAGGCUG
rnacentral:rRNA from 1 species